CUUACAGAGGGUUGUGAGCCUCCAGGUGGGUAUUGGGAGUUGAACCUGGGUGUGUGUAAGUGUUCUUAACUGCUGAGCC
rnacentral:miRNA from 1 species